CAAUAUAUAUUGGAGGGCAAGUCUGGUGCCAGCAGCCGCGGUAAUUCCAGCUCCAAGAGCGUAUAUUAAAGUUGUUGCAGUUAAAAAGCUCGUAGUUGAACCUUGGGUUUUGGAGGGAGGUCCACCUCACGGUGAGUACUUCCAUAUCCAAGACCUUUCCUCUGCUUCCUCGCAAGAGGCAGCAGAAUAUUACUUUGAGUAAAUGAGAGUGUUCAAAGCAGGCGCACGCUUGAAUCUGUUAGCAUGGAAUAAUAGAAUAGGACGCAUGGUUCUAUUUUGUUGGUUUCUAGGACCAUCGUAAUGAUUAAUAGGGACGGUCGGGGGCAUCAGUAUUCAGUUGUCAGAGGUGAAAUUCUUGGAUUUACUGAAGACUAACUACUGCGAAAGCAUUUGCCAAGGACGUUUUCAUUAAUCAAGAACGAAAGUUAGGGGAUCGAAGAUGAUCAGAUACCGUCCGCCGCUCAGGGGG
rnacentral:rRNA from 1 species